GAAAGGGCUCAAGGUACUUCAGGAUUCUCAAGUGAAAAAAGGGAGUCUGAUAACACAGUUAUGGAACCAUUCACUGAGGGCAUUCAGUAUUGGAAUAUUGGAAGUGUCACUCCAUUGUUUAAGAAGGGAUGGAGGAAGAAACAAGAUCAUUGCAGAUUAACAUCCGUUGUGGGAAAGUUACUGGAAUCAGGGAUUGAGUGACUGACAUCAAGUAUAAGAGUCAACAUGGUUUUCUGAAGGAUUUUCCUUUAAGUCUUCAUCAGCCAUACUCCAGCUUUUCCGUGAUACCAGCUUGUUAUGGGAAUAUCGGUACCCAUGAGAAGCCAAGGAGAAUAAUGACGUACAAGUUACAACAUAGUGUUAUGAACGGCAAAACAUAUUCAUUUCAAUCUAAUAUUCCACAUGACCGAACAAGAUAUUGGAGGAAAGAGAAACCCAAGC